rnacentral:tRNA from 1 species
UGGGAGAUCGUCUAAUGGCAGGACAAUGGACUCUGACUCCAUUAAUUUUGGUUCGAAUCCAAAUCUCCCAGCCA